GUCUGUCUCUCUCUCUCUCUCUGUCUCUCUCUCUCUCUUUCUCUCCCUCGCUCCUUCCUCCACAUGCAAACACACACAGCCUCAUAAAAUAAUUAAUAAAUACUCGUGGUCCCCUAGAGCCCUGUUGGACUCAUUCAGUAUUUGCAUAUGUGCUAUCUUAUUUUUAGAAUGUUACUUCUCCCUCUUUGUGCCCACCCCCUCCCCCCGAUUAUUUUUAUUAGCUCCUUUGGGUGUGUGUGUGUGUCAUCUUAGAGAAAUCUUUGCCACAUCCCCAAAGAUGUUCCUAUUUUAAAUUCUCCAAAUUCCUACAGACCAAUAAAUCCCAUCCAAACCUCUAUUAGAGCACAGUCACUUUUAGAAUGUCCUUGCUUGGUCACAUGCCUGUCUCCCUCAGUAGACGCUCAGCAUCUGCAGAUCGAGGACUGUUUGGUACCCAAAGUCUAGCCUUCACCUGUUCCUUGCCCAAAAUAGUACAUUAGCUACUUACUGUUGUCUGAUGGGCAACCCCCAAACUAUAUCACACAAUAGCUCCUUUUAUUUGCUCACGACUCUGAGGGUUGUCAGCAUUUGGCUGAUGUGACCAACCACUGCUCCAAAGGUGCCAGGAGGUCUACACACACGUUUGUAUUCGGUGAGCUAGUUGUCGGAGGCCUUUUGUUCUUGGAAGCUGCUGUCAUUUGAUUCUUGAAUGUCUGUCUCCCAAAGUCCCAUGUGUUAAUAAGUUCUUUUCACUAGGGUGGCAACACUGGGACAAGGUAGAACCAGCCACACAUUUCAGCACUCGGUGGGUGGAGGAGGCAGGAGGAUCAGGAAUUCACUGACAUCCUUGGUAACAAAGCAAGUCUGAGACCACAUAAAAUAUUGCCUCAAAGAUGCAAACGAAGAAGUGGUAGGACCUGAUGAGAGAACUGCAGGGACCUGGGGAGUUUGCCCCUGGUGGGACUGUGGGACCCCAGCUUUUUUUCAUCAUUUAUUUCUUGGCCCUGAGACAAGUCAUUUGGUUUGACCAUUUGCUCCUACACAGUGUCCUGACUUAUCACAUGCCUCACUGGUGAGUUAGUACCGAAUGGGGCCAAUCAGUUAUGGACUAAAAUCUCAAAAACUGUGAGCCAAAAAUAACCCUUUUCUCUUUAUCAGGUAAUUACCACAGGUAUCUUGUUAAAUUACAUAAUGGCUCACAACAGUCCAUUGCUCUAGUGGCACAAGAUCUGACACCCUCUUCUGAUCUUCUUGGGUACCAGGGGCGCACAUGGUACACAAAUAUAGAUAUAAUGCAAAACAUCCAUAUACAUAUAAUUAAAGUGAAUAAAUACUUGAAAAUGGGUUAAUAAAUAAAACCAGCCCAGAGUCCAGGAACAGAGAAAUAAGCAGUACCUUUUAUGAGAAGACCUGCAUAGAAUCUGUGGCCAAUUUUAAUUCUCUAAAAAUAAAUACAGAGGAGCCAUUAUUAGUUUAAUGCAGUUAUUGAACGCUUUAGACUCUCGAAUCAAAUUCUUACCCAGCCAUUGGAUGGGAGUGAGAUGUACCUGAAGGCUGGUUUAUAACAAAACCUUCCAAGUCCAUGGGUCCUAAAAUGUCAGUGCUGCUUGGGCUGGGUAGAACACAGUUUAAUCAUCUCAUUGAUUAGUGAAUGAGGCAUAAAACAAUCUUGGACUAUACCCAGACUUGUGCAGCUUGGCCGAAUUCCUUGAGUCUCUUGCCUUCCAUCCCUGUCACAGUAGAUUCUUCUGUGGGAUAAAGUCAUUCAGCUGAAACAGGUUUAUGGCACUGUGGACUCAAAAGUGGCAUCAGGGAUCUUUGAAGAGAAGGGGGAGGAUCAUCUGCUAUUGUUAUUUGUUUCAAAUACCAAGGUCUUAUUCUGUAUGUAUUCCAAGUUGGCCAGGAACUUCUAGUAUAGCACAGGCUAGUCUUAAAUUCAUAGCCAUCCUCCUGCUUCAGCCUCCUGAGGACUUGAAUUAUAGGCCCGAGCUACCAUGCCUGUUUAAAUGAGUUUGGUCUUCAUGUGGAUUUGUGUCUGUGAUCUUCAAAGAGGAAACGGUAUUUACUUAUUCACUGCCUGAGAUAACAUUUAACUGCGCAUCUUGGACAUAUUCUUCCUUGUUCCCUUAUAAAAUGUAUUUUCAAAGCCAGGCAAGAAGGCUCACACCUAUAAUCCCAGUAUUCAGGAAGUGGAGACAGGAGAGUUGUGGUGAGAGGCCAGCCUGGACUACAGAGACUUUGUCUCAAAAACAAAACUAGAUAAGAAAUUCUAGACUCUUUUUUUUGUUUGUGUGUGGUGUUUAUGUUUUGAUGAUAGAAAGACAGAUUUUGUUUUUUGUUUCUUCAUUAACACAGUAUAUGAAUUAGAAGGGCUUUUUUUUUAUUAAAAUGAAAACUGCAUUAUCUUUUUUACUGUUUCUGCCUUCUGAAGUUUAAUUACAACUGGGCAGGGUGGCUCACAGCACAAAGAUUCGUGCUGGAGAAUGGAAUUUGAGGCUAUCCUGGCUAUACACAGAGACCCUAUCUAAAAACUAAUUUAUUAGGUCUAGUAUCUCACACCUCUAAUCGAAGCACUGCAGAGACAGAAGGAUCACCACAUCUAAGGCUAGCCUGGGCUACAUGUGAUACCCAAAAGACAUAAUAAGGAAAUUCAUUGAGAAAUGGAAGGGAAUGUGAGGAAGAUCAGCCAUCUUUGCCUAGAUGAGGUGUGGCUGACUUUAUAGAUCACGUGACAGGUGCCUCUGCUUUGGAAGGACAGACACCAGGUUAAGAAUAUCACUGCUUUCUAUUCAAAUGGAUUUCCUGAGUUUCCAAAUCUUUCCUUUCAAAUGUAUUGUGGAGAUAGUCAACUUCAAGGCCAAUUUUGAACCCUUGGUACUGACUCUGGCUGCUAUGAAUUCUGUUUUACUUUGACUAUAAAUGAUCAGAAUAACUCCAGAGCACUGUGGUGUUUCUGACUGGUUGAAAUUGAUGAUUGACAUUAAUAAUGAUUUCCUGCCACCUGAACUUCAGGUAUGAUGCAUAUUUCUUCACUGCAGAACCAAAAGGACAAAUGAGCUGUAUGCCAAAAUGAAGUUUGCCGUCAAAGAUCGCAUAUAGUAUUGUUAAAUAAGUUUAAAAGUACUUAAUAUAUGGCUUUAUUUUAAAAUUUCUUGAGUGUGAUUUGCUAUCUUUAAUAAAACUGUACCAUAAUACUUAAGAUGAUUGUAUGAAAACACAGUAGCAUGAAAUAAAUGUUACAUUUUUAAAAAUUACC
rnacentral:lncRNA from 1 species